rnacentral:rRNA from 1 species
AUACGUAGGUGGCAAGCGUUGUCCGGAUUUAUUGGGCGUAAAGGGAGCGCAGGCGGUCUCUUAAGUCUGAUGUGAAAGACCCCGGCCCAACCGGGGGGACGCGCUGGAAACUGCAGGGCUUGAGUACAGGAGGGGUUGCCGGAAUUCCAGGUGUAGGGGUGAAAUCUGUAGAUAUCUGGAAGAACACCAAUGCCGAAGGCAGGCAUCUGGCCAUGUACUGACGCUGAGACGCGAAGGUGCGGGGAGCAAACAGGUUUAGAUACCCUGGUAGUCCGCACAGUAAACGAUGUGCACCAGGUGGCGGGGGGUCGACCCCCGGUACCGUAGCUAACGCAUUAAGUGCACCGCCUGGGGAGUAUGCUCGCAAGGGUGAAACUCAAAGGAAUUGACGGGG